rnacentral:snRNA from 1 species
AUAACUUUCUCGGCUUUAUGGCUAAAGAUCAAGUGUAGUAUCUGUUCUUAUCUGUUUAGAAACAAAUUUAAUACACUAAUAAUGCAAAUAUUGCAUCAUUUUGUGACAUCUUAGUGAUGUUUUUACCAACCUCUGCUACAGAUGGGGUCUGUGGUCCGCAGUCUGCAGACAUUUU